rnacentral:rRNA from 1 species
GAGUUUGAUCUUGGCUCAGAUUGAACGCUGGCGGCAUGCUUUACACAUGCAAGUCGAGCGGCAGCGCGGGGCAACCUGGCGGCGAGCGGCGAACGGGUGAGUAAUGCAUCGGAACAUGUCCUGUCGUGGGGGAUAGCCCGGCGAAAGCCGGAUUAAUACCGCAUACGUCCGAGAGGAGAAAGUGGGGGACUCGAAAGGGCCUCACGCGAUUGGGUUGGCCGAUGUCCGAUUAGCUAGUUGGUGGGGUAAAGCCCCACCAAGGCGAUGAUCGGUAGCUGGCCUGAGAGGAUGAUCAGCCACACUGGGACUGAGACACGGCCCAGACUCCUACGGGAGCAGCAGU